rnacentral:rRNA from 1 species
GACGGUUCGCAUGAAGUGCUUACUGCAUUUUUUCUUACACAUGUGUUUUUCUUUUUUUGAAAACUUUGCUUUGGUAGGCCUUCUAUAUGGGGCCUGCCAGAGAUUAAACUCAACCAAAUUUUAUUUAAUGUCAACCGAUUAUUUAAUAGUCAAAACUUUCAACAACGGAUCUCUUGGUUCUCGCAUCGAUGAAGAACGCAGCGAAAUGCGAUAAGUAAUAUGAAUUGCAGAUAUUCGUGAAUCAUCGAAUCUUUGAACGCACAUUGCGCCCUUUGGUAUUCCAAAGGGCAUGCCUGUUUGAGCGUCAUUUCUCCCUCAAACCCUCGGGUUUGGUGUUGAGCGAUACGCUGGGUUUGCUUGAAAGAAAGGCGGAGUAUAAACUAAUGGAUAGGUUUUUUCCACUCAUUGGUACAAACUCCAAAACUUCUUCCAAAUUCGACCUCAAAUCAGGUAGGACUACCCGCUGAACUUAAGCAUAUCAAUAAGGCGGAGGAAAGGAUCAUUACAGAAUGAAAAGUGCUUAACUGCAUUUUUUCUUACACAUGUGUUUUUCUUUUUUUGAAAACUUUGCUUUGGUAGGCCUUCUAUAUGGGGCCUGCCAGAGAUUAAACUCAACCAAAUUUUAUUUAAUGUCACCGAUAUUUAAUAGUCA